GACGAACGCUGGCGGCGUGCUUAACACAUGCAAGUCGAACGGAAAGGCCCUGCUUUUGUGGGGUGCUCGAGUGGCGAACGGGUGAGUAACACGUGAGUAACCUGCCCUUGACUUUGGGAUAACUUCAGGAAACUGGGGCUAAUACCGGAUAGGAGCUCCUGCCGCAUGGUGGGGGUUGGAAAGUUUCGGCGGUUGGGGAUGGACUCGCGGCUUAUCAGCUUGUUGGUGGGGUAGUGGCUUACCAAGGCUUUGACGGGUAGCCGGCCUGAGAGGGUGACCGGCCACAUUGGGACUGAGAUACGGCCCAGACUCCUACGGGAGGCAGCAGUGGGGAAUAUUGCACAAUGGGCGGAAGCCUGAUGCAGCAACGCCGCGUGCGGGAUGACGGCCUUCGGGUUGUAAACCGCUUUCGCCUGUGACGAAGCGUGAGUGACGGUAAUGGGGAAAGAAGCACCGGCUAACUACGU
rnacentral:rRNA from 1 species